rnacentral:rRNA from 1 species
UACGAAGGGGGCUAGCGUUGCUCGGAAUCACUGGGCGUAAAGGGUGCGUAGGCGGGUCUUUAAGUCAGGGGGGAAAUCCUGGAGCUCAACUCCAGAACUGCCUUUGAUACUGAAGAUCUUGAGUUCGGGAGAGGUGAGUGGAACUGCGAGUGUAGAGGUGAAAUUCGUAGAUAUUCGCAAGAACACCAGUGGCGAAGGCGGGUCUCUGGACAGUUCCUGACGCUGAGGCACGAAGGUCAGGGGAGCAAACGGG